rnacentral:rRNA from 1 species
UGCAAGUCGACUCGAGUCUUCGGACUUGGGUGGCGCACGGGUGAGUAACGCGUAAAGAACUUGCCUCUUAGACCGGGACAACAUCUGGAAACGGAUGCUAAUACCGGAUAUUAUGGUUUUUUCGCAUGGAGGAAUCAUGAAAGCUAGAUGCGCUAAGAGAGAGCUUUGCGUCCCAUUAGCUAGUUGGUGAGGUAACGGCCCACCAAGGCAAUGAUGGGUAGCCGGCCUGAGAGGGUGAACGGCCACAAGGGGACUGAGACACGGCCCUUACUCCUACGGGAGGCAGCAGUGGGGAAUAUUGGACAAUGGACCACAAGUCUGAUCCAGCAAUUCUGUGUGCACGAUGACGUUUUUCGGAAUGUAAAGUGCUUUCAGUCGGGAAGAAGUCAGUGACGGUACCGACAGAAGAAGCGACGGCUAAAUACGUGCCAGCAGCCGCGGUAAUACGUAUGUCGCAAGCGUUAUCCGGAUUUAUUGGGCGUAAAGCGCGUCUAGGCGGCAAGGAAAGUCUGAUGUGAAAAUGCGGAGCUCAACUCCGUAUGGCGUUGGAAACUGCCUUACUAGAGUACUGGAGAGGUAGGCGGAACUACAAGUGUAGAGGUGAAAUUCGUAGAUAUUUGUAGGAAUGCCGAUGGGGAAGCCAGCCUACUGGACAGAUACUGACGCUAAAGCGCGAAAGCGUGGGUAGCAAACAGG